rnacentral:rRNA from 1 species
UACGUAGGGUGCGAGCGUUAAUCGGAAUUACUGGGCGUAAAGAGCGCGCAGGCGGUCGUUCAAGUCGCGUGUGAAAGCCCCCGGCUCAACUGGGGAGGGUCACGCGAUACUGAUCGACUCGAAGGCAGGAGAGGGAAGUGGAAUUCCCGGUGUAGUGGUGAAAUGCGUAGAUAUCGGGAGGAACACCAGUGGCGAAGGCGGUUCUCUGGGCCUUACCUGACGCUCAGGCGCGAAAGCUAGGGGAGCGAACGAGG